CCCUACGGGGUGCAGCCGGCGGAAUGCUACGUCAGUGGUGAAAUCUCCCGGCUUAACCGGGAAACUGCCAUUGAUACUGUCAUUCUUGAGUACAGUUGAAGUGGGCGGAAUGUGUCAUGUAGCGGUGAAAUGCUUAGAUAUGACACAGAACACCGAUAGCGAAGGCAGCUCACUAAGCUGUAACUGACGCUCAUGCACGAAAGCGUGGGGAUCAAACA
rnacentral:rRNA from 1 species